rnacentral:rRNA from 1 species
UACGUAGGGUGCAAGCGUUGUCCGGAAUUAUUGGGCGUAAAGAGCUCGUAGGCGGCUUGUCACGUCGACUGUGAAAACCCGGGGCUCAACUCCGGGCCUGCAGUCGAUACGGGCUGGCUUGAGUGCGGUAGGGGAGACUGGAAUUCCUGGUGUAGCGGUGAAAUGCGCAGAUAUCAGGAGGAACACCGGUGGCGAAGGCGGGUCUCUGGGCCGAUACUGACGCUGAGGAGCGAAAGCAUGAGUAGCGAACAGG